rnacentral:tRNA from 1 species
GGAGAGGUGUCGGAGCGGUUGAACGAACGCGACUGGAAAUCGCGUAGGUUCCGAAAGGGGCCUCCAGGGUUCGAAUCCCUGCCUCUCCG